UCGAAAGUGAUCUUCUUCCAAUGGCUCUAAUGGGAAUAUAUAUGCGUAUAUAUUGAUGCAUCGUUGCCAUGUCUGGCUCUUCAGGAUGUGCACUCUUGUCUCCGUUGUUAUAUCU